rnacentral:rRNA from 1 species
CUUGGUCAUUUAGAGGAAGUAAAAGUCGUAACAAGGUUUCCGUAGGUGAACCUGCGGAAGGAUCAUUCAUAAUAAGUGUUUUAUGGCACUUUUUAAAUCCAUAUCCACCUUGUGUGCAAUGUCAGUCGAUCUUCUUCAUGGAGAUCGACCAAACAUCAACCUUUAUCUUUUAACUCUUUGUCUGAAAAAUAUUAUGAAUAAACAAUUCAAAAUACAACUUUCAACAACGGAUCUCUUGGCUCUCGCAUCGAUGAAGAACGCAGCGAAAUGCGAUACGUAAUGUGAAUUGCAGAAUUCAGUGAAUCAUCGAAUCUUUGAACGCAUAUUGCGCUCUUUGGUAUUCCGAAGAGCAUGCUUGUUUGAGUAUCAGUAAACACCUCAAAGCUUUUGGAUUUUUUAAUCGAAAAGCUUUGGACUUGAGCAAUCCCAACACCAAUCUUUUUGAGAUCGGUGGCGGGUUGCUUGAAAUGCAGGUGCAGCUGGACAUUCUCCUGAGCUAAAAGCAUAUUCAUUUAGUCCCGUCAAACGGAUUAUUACUUUUGCUGCAGCUAACAUAAAGGGAGUUUGACCGUAUUGGCUGACUGSUGCAGGAUUUCACAAGGGUCGGCAACGAUUCUUGUUAAACUCGAUCUCAAAUCAAGUAAGACUACCCGCUGAACUUAAGCAUAUCAAUAAGCGGAGGA